rnacentral:rRNA from 1 species
CCUACGGGAGGCAGCAGUGGGGAAUAUUGGGCAAUGGGCGCAAGCCUGACCCAGCAACGCCGCGUGAAGGAAGAAGGCUUUCGGGUUGUACACUUCUUUUCUCAGGGACGAAGCAAGUGACGGUACCUGAGGAAUAAGCCACGGCUAACUUCGGGCCAGCAGCCGCGGUAAUACGUAGGUGGCAAGCGUUAUCCGGAUUUACUGGGUGUAAAGGGCGUGGAGGCGGGACUGCAAGUCAGAUGUGAAAGACACGGGCGCACCCUGUGGCCUGCAUUUGAAACUGUAGUUCUUGAGUACUGGAGAGGCAGACGGAAUUCCUAGUGUAGCGGUGAAAUGCGUAGAUAUUAGGAGGAACACCAGUGGCGAAGGCGGUCUGCUGGACAGCAACUGACGCUGAGGCGCGAAAGCGUGGGGAGCAAACAGGAUUAGAUACCCGAGUAGUC